rnacentral:lncRNA from 1 species
UGUUUUUUUUUUUUUGCUUCUCCAGCCAUGUUUGUGUUCUAGAUCAUGGAUGAAUCGCUCUCUCUGGUGGCGCUUCUCCAGGGAUAAAUUUGGUACUUUCUCAGUGGAGUUGUAAUGUAAUUCUUUUGUGUGUUUUUAGUGGAAUUACAGUGUAUUUUUAGUGGAAUUACCGUGCAUUUUCAGUGGUUUUUACAUUGUAAUUGUUAGUGGAAUUACAGUGGAAUUUACACUGUAAAUCUUAGUGGGUUUACAGUGUAUUUUUAGUUGAUUUUUGCUCUGUAUUUGCAAGUGGCAUUUUUAGUGGAAUUACAGUGUAUUUUUAGUGGAAUUACUGUGCAUUUGCAGUGGUUUUUACACUGUAAUUAUUAGUGGAAUUUACACUGUAAAUCUUAGUGGGUUUACUUUGUAUUUUUAGUGGAUUUUUGCUCUGUAUGUGCAAGUGGCAUUUUUAGUGGAAUCGCAAUGGAUUUUUAGUGGAUUACUGUGCAUUUUCCGUGGUUUUUACACUAUAAUUAUUAGUGGUAUUUUAGCCCUUUGUAUAGUUGAUUCACAGCAUCAGCAACUGUAAUUUCUCAGUAUUUUAGUGCUCAGAGUGUUAUUCGGCGCUGUGUGGUUAGAUGUCAUCAGUUUUGAUCCUUUUCAUCCUCCUGUAGUUAGCUUAGUCCACCUUUUGUUAGCUUUUAGCUGCUUUCUGUACGGGUUUGGGGCGUGGACCCGUUUAUAGUUUGGUGGGCAGAAAGAAUAGGGGAAUAGAGGAGACGAGACAUGUGACACUUGUCAUCCAUUAGUUGACUGAAAAAUAUGAAUGAAAGCGAAUUAAAUUUCAUCCGGAUGUAGAAUAGACAGUCCCAAAUAAAAAAGCAAUCCAACGGUGUAUCCCGUCAAGCUGUGUAUCCAACUCCACCCUCACGCCGUGUGCCAUGGUUUCCUACAACAAGCACCUGCCGAGCACAAGCAACUCGGCGGGAACGCCGCCACGCUCGCUCCGCAGAGUGCGGCCUCCCCUGUGUCCGCUAUCGUGGCCGUGCCGCCGCCAGGCGCCAACGCAUCAGCGAGGACGUCGCGUUCGAGUCAGGAACGUGAUCGCUACGCGUGCGCUAGCGCUUUGCUGGGCUUCUCUUGGAUCGCAAGGUUCGGUUUUAUGGGAUUUUACGCUUUAGUUCGUAUUAGGAAAGAGUGAUGUAUGUCGAGGCAUUUUAUCUUUUACGUAUAGGAAAGAGUAGGAAAGAGGGUCGAGGAAUUUUAGGCUUUACGUUCCAGGAAAGAGGGUUAGAACUUUACGUUCCAACUUUCGAGGUGGUUUUGGUCGAGGAAUUUUAGGAUGGCAGUUUGGGCUACAGAGCCUCCAACCUGAUCAGGUGCACAAUCCUUCCAUCGGAAGAGGUUUCACUCUCAUUUCAACUCUCUAUCACAAACCUACAGCUCCCAAUGAAUGGCUCCCAGCAGCUCUGCCUCAAAGGAAGGAAUGCUCCAUCAAUAUCCUUCUGUCCAAUUCCAAGCUAUUCUUAUUGCGAGAUUACUCUGCACACGACAAUGUGCAAGAUGAUCUGCAGACGACCUUGUGAUCAAUGGCUGCAGACCACGUGAACUGAGGUGAUCGAUGGCUGCUAUAUCUUAGUCAUCCAGAAAUCUUGCACAGCCCAUCGUUUGUGUAUCAGUUCUCUAUUCUUAUUGACUCUAUUCACUUGCCACUCCCCUUAAGCUGCCAAUUUUGUUCGAAUUCUAAUUCUAAUUUAUAGAUUUUCUUAUUUGGGGUUUAUACAAUUCAUAAACGGACCAUAGACGUAGUCAAAGCACACACAAAUAGUUCUUUAAAGUUGAGAUAAUUAAGGUUUACAAUUCAUAGAGUGACCAUAAGACAUAGUGCAUAUUUGACUACUUACAAGCAAUCAAAACAAAGCUGAAAAAGCUCACAUGAAUAGUUGGAUAAGGUUGAGAUAAUUAAGGUUUACAAUUCAUACACUGACCAUAGGACAUGGUGCAUAUUUGACUACUUGCAAGCAAUCAUAAGUAAGAAAGCUAACAAAGCACACAUGAAUAGUUGGAUAAGGCUGAGAUAAUUAAGGUUUACAAUUCACACACUGACCAUAGGACGUGGUGCAUAUCUGACUACUUGCAAGUAAUCAAAACAAAGCUGAAAAAGCUCACAUGAAUAGUUGGAUAAGGUUGAGAUAAUUAAGGUUUACAAUUCAUACACUGACCAUAGGACAUGGUGCAUAUCUGACUACUUGCAAGUAAUCAAAACCAAAGCUGACAAAGCUCAUACGAAUAUAUAGUUGGAUGAAGCGGAGACAAUAAGUCUGACUAGCCCUAGCCCUAGCCCUCUGCAAUAAAUUCAUCAUUAAGCGCCGGGUCCUCAGCAAUAAAUUCCUCAUUAAGCUUCAGGCCCAAAGCAAUAAAUUCCUCAUUAAACCUAGCACCAUAUACUCCAGUAAGAAGUCCUUGCAGAAAAUGCCUGAGAUCAUCAUCAAGAAGAGGCCGCUGUCACACCGAAAAAAAAGCAAGUUAAGCAUACAACCACCCAAAAGAAUACUACUACGUAUAACAAUUUGUGAUUGGUAAAUUUACCCUAUUAAUAUCAUACUGGUGAUAAUGAGCUAUGACUACUUUGGCAAAGUGCAAGGCUCCAAAAACUGUUUGAGCAAACCCCACCCCCCGGGUAACUUCAAUUUGAUGGUCCAGAAUCGCUGUAAGAGACGGGUCUCCAACAUUGCGUUGCCACCCCUGUAAGAAGAUAUGUUUCUCCAACCAAUCUAUUUGGUCAUCGGUAAAAAAAAUUCCUUUUUCAUAUAAUCUUUUAUACUUGCUCUCCCUAACGUGGGGGACUGUGACUAGGAAUGGAUGAUCGAGGACAUCUUGUUUCCUGCCAUAUUAAUAACAGUAGGGUUAACUUUCUGCCAUAUUAAUAACAAUAGAGUUAACUAAAGAUGAUGGAGAUGAUGGUUAAUGUUAGAAGAGUUGGCUAGUGCAUACCUUAUGUUUAUAUUUGGGUUAAUGAGGAAUGCAUUGAAGUGCGCUAGUUCAAUAUCAUCUGGCCAAUGUUGCAAAAUAUUGGUCUGUAUCAGUAGUUGCAAACCCUGCCUAGGUGUCAUCACAUCAUCAGGAGUCCUUCCACGAACUCGGAAUGGCAUAAUUUGGAUCAUAUUCUCAUUAAUAGCGUAAGUUCCAAUAUCUUCCACAUUAUCUACUGUCCACUGUUUGUCCCAAAUCAAAAAGACUACUAAUAUAUGGGGCAAAUACAAGUGUACGAGGCAAUGUAAAGUGACAUGGAGAUAAAAGGAUUGAUAAGCAAAUGUAAUCUCUAGAGAAUAAAGAGGGGAGAAGGAUGGCCAUACCUAAUACUAUUUCUUAACUGAUCACGAACGAACAUACUGUUAUCUGGAUUUGCUAUCCAGGAGAGCACACUUUGUUGAGAGCGAGCAAAGGCAAUGAUUGUUUUUCCAAUUAGGGUAUUAUAGGCCACGCCGUAGGUCUUAACAAUCCCUACAUCAAUGGAUGGAUUUAGCCCCAAUGGGUUUAGCUGACCAAAAGGCACUUCAUUCAGAACCCAGAAGGUGGCAGCUCGUUUCUGCAGUUCCUCUUAGUCAAAUCCUUGUUCUAUAUCCGCAGCAAACUUUAUUGCCUUGCUUGAAUAAUAGAUAUAACCAUCUUUAAAUCCAAGUUCUGCAGUUUGUGGACAGCUAAAUUCGUAGGGCUGAAUAAGAGUGCCACACCUCCUAGCAUUAGUACGAAAGUUUCUGGCUUCUCUGCAUCUCUCAAAGAUGGUUUUCUCGUUCCU